CGUAAAGAAUAAUAAUUUCAUACUGUAAUUCGUUUUUUUACCACGUUUAUUUGUCAUUGUAAAAAAUGUGGAUUUACGUAUUGCUCGCUACUUUCAUGACCUUUGAUUUUGCGGCGGCUUCAUCCGGUUUUGAUUUUGGCGAUACCUUAGCACUGAUUCUUGGAUUAAUCAUCGCAUUUAUUGGAUUCUUUGCCUGUAUGGGCGCUUACGCGAGAAGUCGAAACCCUUCACAACCGUUAUGAUUGCAGACCACUCCAGAAUUUGUCCCAUAGAUAUUCAAUGCAUAUAAAAUUAAUGAAGAAAAUGCCUCGAAUCAAGCUUGUUGAAUAACAAUCGCACA